rnacentral:rRNA from 1 species
ACGAACGCUGGCGGCGUGCUUCACACAUGCAAGUCGAACGAUGAAGCGGGUGCUUGCACUCGUGGAUUAGUGGCGAACGGGCGAGUAACACGUGAGUAACCUGUCCUUUUCUUUGGGAUAACGGCUGGAAACGGCUGCUAAUACUGGAUAUUCAGGCUGCAUCGCAUGGUGUGGUUUGGAAAGGUUUUUUCUGGGAUUGGGUGGGCUCGCGGCCUAUCAGCUUGUUGGUGGGGUGAUGGCUUACCAAGGCUUUGACGGGUAGCCGGCCUGAGAGGGUGGUCGGUCGCACUGGGACUGAGAUACGGCCCAGACUCCUACGGGAGGCAGCAGUGGGGAAUAUUGCACAAUGGACGAAAGUGUGAUGCAGCGACGCCGCGUGGAGGGUGUAGGCCUUCGGGUUGUGAACUCCUUUUUCUCGCGAAAAAGGCACAGUUUUGGCUGUGUUGAUGGUAGUGGGGGAAGAAGCGCCGGCUAACUACGUG